ACAUCUCACUGAUGCCAUUUCCAUCCUCCUGAUCUGAUCUGUAACCCAUUCCUCCGCCUGUCCAAUCCAUACCCUCUCCCCAUAUCCGACCUCGUCCAUCAUCACCUGUCCCGCGAUUAGCCAUCUGCACACAGUCAAAAGGGUAAGUCAUAUUCCUACUACGGGAAGCGGCUGGUUUCCUAAUCAUCUUUUUGCGACUCAUUUGACUCGAUAAAAUCAUUAAAAAGCACUUGUGUCACGCAUGGACGAAACCAUGCUCUGAUACCACCUCUGUAACGCCCCCGAACCGUUCUAGGCAUAGGUCAAACCCCCG
rnacentral:lncRNA from 1 species